CCGUAGCCCAAGAGAUCGGGAUAACACCUGGAAACAGAUGCUAAUACCGGAUAACAAUAGAUGAUGCCUAUCAACUGUUUAAAAGAUGGUUCUGCUAUCACUCUUGGAUGGACCUGCGGUGCAUUAGCUAGUUGGUAGGGUAACGGCCUACCAAGGCGAUGAUGCAUAGCCGAGUUGAGAGACUGAUCGGCCACAUUGGGACUGAGACACGGCCCAAACUCCUACGGGAGGCAGCAGUC
rnacentral:rRNA from 1 species